rnacentral:sRNA from 1 species
AGCUAGGGUUAGAGGCAACCCGUGAGGCUAGAACCCCGAACGUGGUCGGUUGGAGCAAAUAUGUCCCUCCGGAGGCACAUUGGGAACCCUGAGUAUCUGAUGAAAAGGAUACCACAGAACCCAAGAUACCAGCAUAUCAAAUCAAGACUGGACACUGGUAACAGUAUGACUAAAUAUACUGAGAAGCUCGAAGAGAUUAAGAAAAAUUAUAGAUACAAAAAAGAUGAGCUUUUCAAGAGACUAAAAGUUACAACUUUUGCCCAGCUGAUCAUCCAAGUUGCUUCCCUCUCUGAUCAAACACUGGAAGUGACAGCUGAGGAGAUUCAAAGGCUGGAAGGUAAUGAGAAUUGAGGGUGUGGGGAAAAUAACAGGCUGACCAUUUGACUGAAACACUCACCCUGUACACAUUUGCUGUCUGUUCCCAGGGACUGGGACUUUGAUGUGUCUAUUUGUAAUUAGAUUGUUACUCUCAGGGAAAUGCUACCUGAUACUUUAGUUGUUAAUUCUUAUUUUAAAAAGCCAUCUGGUUUUCUGACUCUAACACUUACAGUUUUAAAUGUUUUAGAUGUGUUUAAUAUACUAA